UUCAUUGUUCGGGUAUUCUGCAUCUGGACCAGCAGAGUGAUUUGGAUCAAAUACUGCCUCCCAUGCUUCCCAGCUAUCCACGUAGAGGAGUUCUGCAGUCUUUUCCCUCGCCUAAAUGGUCUUGACCUGAGUAAGGUUGAUGUACAAGACGGUCUCACCCACACGCCCUGAAACUACCGCAGUUGUCAACAUCUAGUGCCUUCACCUGCCGCCUCAGCUUUGGAAGAUGAUAGUGGCAGGGCGGCGGGGUCAUUUUGCCCCAUAUUGAUGCUGUCGGACAGUCGGUAGCCAUCUGAUUCAUCACGAUGGACAUUCUUCUAUAUAAUGAAGGCACUAAUUAUAUACAAAUAGAUUCAGAGGUCUGAAUGUCAUUCACUCCCUGUAACGCCAGCAUCUGCAGCAUGAUGUCAUUAAUUGAGCUAGUGACAACAUCCAUGACAUUGGACUCAUGGGACUCAAAUUUCAUACAUAAACUCAGCAGAUCUUCAUUGUUCGGGUAUUCUGCAUCUGGACCAGCAGAGUGAUUUGGAUCAAAUACUGCCUCCCAUGCUUCCCAGCUAUCCACGUAGAGGAGUUCUGCAGUCUUUUCCCUCGCCUAAAUGGUCUUGACCUGAGUAAGGUUGAUGUACAAGACGGUCUCACCCACACGCCCUGAAACUACCGCAGUUGUCAACAUCUAGUGCCUUCACCUGCCGCCUCAGCUUUGGAAGAUGAUAGUGGCAGGGCGGCGGGGUCAUUUUGCCCCAUAUUGAUGCUGUCGGACAGUCGGUAGCCAUCUGAUUCAUCACGAUGGACAUUCUUCUAUAUAAUGAAGGCACUAAUUAUAUACAAAUAGAUUCAGAGGUCUGAAUGUCAUUCACUCCCUGUAACGCCAGCAUCUGCAGCAUGAUGUCAUUAAUUGAGCUAGUGACAACAUCCAUGACAUUGGACUCAUGGGACUCAAAUUUCAUACAUAAACUCAGGUAGGUCUAAAGUCUUUAAAAAAUAGCAAAUGGACUAAUUCUGAGGUAGGUAAGAUUCUAAGUAUAGGAAUGAGAGUACCAAACCCCCGGAUGUUUACAUCAGAGAAAAGUUAUAGAACGUUGUAAUAAGGAAUGAAUGGGUAGGCGUUAGGCGAUUGGCUGAAUUCAGGUAUGUGACAAUUCUCAUUUUGUAGUAAAAUUAUUAGUUUUUAAAAUAAAUGAAGGAAUGGGGGAAUAUUUUAAAGAAUAUAGCAACACUAGGAAAAAUUGUAGGGGUGGGGGUUGAUUUUUUAUGUAGAGUGACAUUUACUGCCGAUCGCUGUAAGUUGUAAACAACUGCAAAUUUGACCUAUAAACGCCACGGGACCCUAUAUUUUUUUUGUCAUUUCCUGAAAGGUCUUGAAUUGAAGUUUCAAAUGAUACCAAAGAUUUGACUGAAACUAUUAUAGUAAAGUACUGAGAGGUCAUAACAUUUGUAUGGAGUUCUAUGGGAAAAUAAUUGGUAGGCUUUUCC